rnacentral:rRNA from 1 species
UACGUAGGUGGCAAGCGUUGUCCGGAAUGAUUGGGCGUAAAGCGUCCGCAGGUGGCUGUGUAAGUCUGCUGUUAAAGAGUGAGGCUCAACCUCAUAAAGGCAGUGGAAACUACAUGGCUAGAGUGCGUUCGGGGCAGAGGGAAUUCCUGGUGUAGCGGUGAAAUGCGUAGAGAUCAGGAAGAACACCGGUGGCGAAAGCGCUCUGCUAGGCCGCAACUGACACUGAGGGACGAAAGCUAGGGGAGCGAAUGGG